rnacentral:rRNA from 1 species
UUGCAUCGAUGAAGAACGCAGCGAAAGGCGAUAGGUAAUGUGAAUUGCAGAAUUCCGUGAAUCAUCGAAUCUUUGAACGCACCUUGCGCUCCAUGGCAUUCCGUGGAGCAUGCCUGUUUGAGUGCCGCGAAAUCUCCCACCCCUAGCGGUUACCGCAAGGCGCCGCCGGGCGGCGGGGUUGGUUGGGUGCCGCUGCCUGGGCUUUGGCCCAGGCUCGCCCGAAAUGCAUGAGCGCUUAGCACUCGCACCGUCUCGAGGGAAGGCGGCGGAGCUGGCAUCUGCGCAUGGCAUGAUACGUCAUUUGCUGUGUGGCAGCCCAGCGACCCGAGAGUGUGUGUGCGCUACUACACGCCCUUUCAGGGCUGGUCUCAAAUCAGGUAGGAUCACCC